ensembl:lncRNA
AGCUAGAGCGGGUAUAAAAUCCACAUAGUCGUUGGGCUAAUAAGGAAUUCAUGGACAAUGUAUUCCAGGAGAAGCAAACAGCAGAGGGCUUCAACUUAUGAAGAAAAAGGCGGCUCAGCAGUUCAUCAUAAGUUGAAGACGUAGCAUUUAUAAGCGAGUAAAUUGAGUCUUUGACUUACUCCCUGCAAAUGGAACUGUCUCACAAAGCGGCACCUCUUUCACGCCAAACGCGUCAUUCUUCGUGACCGAACACUUAGGUUUCCAACAGCAGAACUCGGUGCCUGCGGUGCUGACCACCCUGGCUCAUUCCCGACCGUCGCAUGCAACUGAAGCUUGUGAUGCUCAGACUCAACUUGUCAUUUCUGUUUCAAGUGGAUGAAAACUAUUUACGCAUGCGUUCCGGAGCCACGCCGUCUUAUUUACUCCUUUCUGGUUGUCUCUGUGUAGCUGAGGACUGAAGAAUUGAUGCUUUUGAACUGUGGUGUUGGAGAGGACUCUUGAGAGUCCCUUGGACUGCAAGGAGAUCCAACCAGUCCAUUCUAAAGGAAAUCAGUCCCGAAUAUUAUUGGAAGGACCGAUACUGAAGCUGAAACUCCAAUACUUUGGCCACGUGAUGCAAAGAGCCGACUCAUCAGAAAAGACCCUGAGGCUGGAAAAGAUUGAAGGCAGGAGGAGAAGGGGAAGACAGAGGAUGAGAUGAUUGGAUGGCAUCACCAAUUCAGUGGACAUGAGUUGCACAAUCUCUGGGAGUUGGUGAUGGACAGGGAAGCCUGG